CAUGAAGUCAUUGUUUUUGAUUGGCUGUG
rnacentral:piRNA from 1 species